rnacentral:rRNA from 1 species
AGUGAACGCUGGCGGUAGGCCUAACACAUGCAAGUCGAACGGCGGCACAGUAAGAGCUUGCUCUUACGGGUGGCGAGUGGCGGACGGGUGAGGAAUACAUCGGAAUCUACUUUUUCGUGGGGGAUAACGUAGGGAAACUUACGCUAAUACCGCAUACGACCUACGGGUGAAAGCAGGGGAUCUUCGGCCCUUGCGCGAUUGAAUGAGCCGAUGUCGGAUUAGCUAGUUGGCGGGGUAAAGGCCCACCAAGGCGACGAUCCGUAGCUGGUCUGAGAGGAUGAUCAGCCACACUGGAACUGAGACACGGUCCAGACUCCUACGGGAGGCAGCAGUGGGGAAUAUUGGACAAUGGGCGCAAGCCUGAUCCAGCCAUACCGCGUGGGGGAAGAAGGCCUUCGGGUUGUAAAGCCCUUUUGUUGGGAAAGAAAAGCAGCAGGUUAAUACCCCGCUGUCCUGACGGUACCCAAAGAAUAAGCACCGGCUAACUUCGUG